rnacentral:RNase_P_RNA from 1 species
GGAGCAGAUCGGGUAGCGGCCUCAAGGCAACUUGGGGAGGAAAGUCCGGACUUCAAAGGGCAUGGUGCCCUCGGCAACGGGGGACGGGGCGACCCGAUGGAAAGUGCAACAGAAAGUAGACCACCGAUGGGUAACCCUCGGAACGGGUGAAACGGUGAGGUAAAAGCUCACCAGAGGCAGGGGUAACUCUGCUUGCUAGGCAAACCCCACCAGAAGCAAGGCCAAAUAGAGAGACAUUGACGUUGCCCGCAGAGUCUCUGGGUUGGCCGCAUUAGAGAAAUCGCUACACAAAGACAGAAUCCGGCUUACAGAUCUGCUCUCAAA